rnacentral:misc_RNA from 1 species
GUUGCAUCUUCAACUUCUCACGCUGUCCAAAGUAAAAGAAAAUGAGUGCCUUAAUUUUAAGGUAAUAAAAAGCGCCUGCCAAUGGAAGUUGGAGAAAGUAUCUAACGUUGUGGAGCUCAUAAACUGGUAUUAAGAAAGAUUUCUCAGUAACAUGUAUAUAAUGUAAGCAUGUAUGUGUAUAUGUAUCAUAUUCAGAUGUUAUAAUAUAAUUUAGCUAGGCCAGAUUUAAUUUGGAUAAAAGAAUCUGUCACAAGUGUAGCUUAUAUUCAACGGAAACAAUGGAGUCAAAAGGGAGCCAAAAGCUUUAUAUAAAUUGAAGAUGGGUUGCACAACUGAACAGCUUAUGCAGCAUAAAGCAUAGUAAGCUGUUGGAAAAAUUAUUUUCUAAGAUGAGAGCAAAGGCGUUGCAUUGCUUGGGCGUUUGGACCACAGUACAUUUUUUCUUCUUUACAUUUUUUUCUUCCCUUCUUUCUCAUACAAGAGAAGAGUACUAGGGGGGCUCAAAACCAGAUCUCUACACAAAAUUCCACCUCUAAAAACCAUAAAGCUAGGCCCAGGUCAGGUGGCCAGCACUCAUUAUUAAUUGGGAAUUACUCGGUUUAUGAAAAAAGAAAAAUGCAAGCG